UACGUAGGGUGCAAGCGUUGUCCGGAAUUAUUGGGCGGAAAGAGCUCGUAGGCGGUUUGUCGCGCCUGCUGUGAAAACCCGAGGCUCAACCUCGGGCCUGCAGUGGGUACGGGCAGACUAGAGUGCGGUAGGGGAGAUUGGAAUUCCUGGUGUAGCGGUGGAAUGCGCAGAUAUCAGGAGGAACACCAAUGGCGAAGGCAGAUCUCUGGGCCGUAACUGACGCUGAGGAGCGAAAGCAUGGGGAGCGAACAGG
rnacentral:rRNA from 1 species